UUCAUAUUCAGAUCUGCUUGACACCCACCUCUGGCUUUAUGAACUUUACACAUAAUCUGAAAGCUUGAGGAGGCUUGUGAGAAAUGUUUGAGUUGGUCUUGGAACUCUUGUUCUCAGGCUACAGGAUUGAGGACCCUGUAUGAAACAUGGGAAAGCCUGGAAAACAGUGUGGGAAAACAUUCUUGGCAACAAAAAGUGCAUAAAUGGUGAACUCUGGUGAGUUAUACAUUACCCUCUCUUGUCAUUUACAUUCAUCUUGAGAACUGGAUGACUCUUGUCAUCUAGCUCCUGCAUUUCCAUGUCUC